AUUGAAACAAGAUGGCGGGUUCGUGGUGAGAAGCCGUCAAGGAGUAGAAAUUGGUAUGCUUAGAAGCAGAUUCUAAAAGCAGUUUCUCUUCAGAACAUCUUUUUUCAUACCACUUGAUAAGCAUCUUGAAACACCAUGGCUGUAGCUGCAGUAAAAUGGGUGAUGUCAAAGAGAACUAUCUUGAAACAUUUAUUUCCAGUCCAAAAUUCGGGCGUACAUGUGCAGGUUUGUUACGUGGAUGUAUUACAUAUACUGAGGUUUGGGCUUCAACUGAACCCGUCACCCAAAUAGUGAACAUAGUACCCAAUAGAUGGAGCUUUAUAUUGUGUUUGUCAUAAAUCUACGUAUUCUCCUCUACCAGAUGACUAUAAUUGCAACGUAGAGCUUGCUCUGACUUCUGAUGGCAGGACAAUAGUAUGCUACCACCCUUCUGUGGACAUUCCAUAUGAACACACAAAACCUAUCCCUCGGCCAGAUCCUGUGCAUAAUAAUGAAGAAACACAUGAUCAAGUGCUGAAAACCAGAUUGGAAGAAAAAGUUGAACACCUUGAGGAAGGACCUAUGAUAGAACAACUUAGCAAAAUGUUCUUUACUACUAAGCACCGUUGGUAUCCUCAUGGACGGUAUCACAGAUGUCGUAAGAAUCUGAAUCCUCCAAAAGACAGAUGAUGCGGAGGUUCCUGGGGGAAUCAAAGAGAAAUGUGCCUCAUUUGCCAUUUGAGAAAAUGCAGUCUGGUGUAUUCAGUAAUAUAUAGUAAAGUAAUAAUGAUAAAAUAUCUUUUCAUAUAUUAGAAUGUGUACUUUUAUAUAAAGUAAUUCUGGAUUUGACAUUCUCAUUUAGAGAAACCUAUUUUCUUUUUUCUUUUUCUAUUUUAGUGUUUCAUUUAUGUGCGGUCUCCAAUUUAGGACUUUUCCAUAGUGCCAAAGCCAUACAUAUUCAGUAGAACAUCAAUAAAUUACAUCAGAAAUUCAACACUUUAUUAUAAAACGGGCUUCGUGUUAGAUAAUUUUGCUAAACAGUAGGCUACUGUAAGUGUUCUGAGCAUAUUUAAGACAGGCUAGCAUUUUCAAUUUACAAUAUUUUCAACUGAUAGUAGGUUUAUUGGGAUGUAACCCUAUGAUAAGUUGAGAAACAUCUCUUUUUGUGUGUCUACUGUGAUUUAAGUAUUUUUAAUCAUCAGCCAAGCAUUGUUAGUAGUAUAAAUAUGAUUAAUAAAAAUGUGCAUGGCUUUCCUGAAGGAGAUUUUUUAAUUGCCUUUGAGAAUAAACUCAUAAGGUCUACCAAGAAAAUAAAUGUUAUGAUGUUUCAGUUGGCUUCUAGGAAAUAAUUAAAUUAGUGAUAUUUUAAUCAGGUUUUACUAUCUGCUAGGCCCCUUCCAUCAAUUCUUAUUAAAUUCUCAAAAUAAUCCUUUGAAAAGGGAGUAUAAUUACAUUUUACAGUGACUCGAACCUUACCCAAACAAGUGGGAGAGCCAGGAGCCAAACUAUCAGGCUCCAAAGCUUUUUUUUAGUGCAUCACAAUGACAAAGGGGUGGUUUUCUUUCACCCAAGAAUGUGCUUUCCUGGAAAUUUUUCUAGAUAGAAUAUUAUGUAAUUUGUUUUGAAGGUUUUUUUUCCUGACUGUCUUAAAGAUUAUGCUAGCUUUAGAACACAUGCAAACAGCUGCAGCUCUGUGAUUAAAAUGUUAAGGUCACUAGAAUAGUGUUAGGAAAAUGUUAAUAGAUAAUUCUGCUGCCUCUAUUAGCUUAUGUAUGAUCCUUAAUAGCAUUGCUUCCCCUUCAGUUUCUAUUUAGGAGGUGAAGAAUCUUUUAAUAAGGUAGAAAGUUGCUUUAUUUAAAUUUGUACUGUAGAAUGUUUGUGAUACAGUAUUUGUAAAAUUGAUAUGAAAAAUAAUUUCUCAAAGUCUAUUGUUUGAUCUAGUUAUUUUAAUAAAGGAACUCUAGAAGUUUCAAGUGGCCAGUGAAGUGUGAGGAAUAGAGAGUAAAGGAAAUAAUUAAUAAUGGUGACCCUCUGUUAAGUGGUUUACUUUUUCCAUUAAUAUAAAUUUCAUUUGGAAAGAUUAAAAAAACAAGUUUGAUUGAACUUGAUAAAUCAGAAAUAUUUACCAGCUUUGUCGAUGGUGUAUUCUUGAAAAAUGUUUGGUUUUCUUUCAGGUUGACUUAUAUCCAAAAUUCUACAAAUUCUUAGCUAUGUUAUAAAUGUAGAAAGAAGUGAAAAAUCAAAAUAUGAUUAUGAAGAUUUUCUUCUCUUCCGAGUACAAAGCUCUGCUAAAUAAGGAUUUACCCAAGAUGCCCACAUCCACAUACUUAUGUGUCAGUGCUUUGGAGAAUUAACUUUGACUUUAUUCUACUGGAAGUAUAGAUUAACACUGUGCUUUCUGGGAUUUUGCUUUUCAUGGGUUGCUGAUUUUUAAUUUUGCUAAAUAAGCACAUAGUCCGUGAUCACCAGCAUCACCUGCCCUCUGUUCCUCCCCCGUCCCCCAGGGAUAAGAACCUGUUAUCCACCAUCAGUAACAUUUUAUGAAAGAUCUACUUAUUUGUCUGUUUUGCAGACAUUUUAAAAUUCGUAAAGUGGGAUGCUUCUUUAAUUUAAAUACAUUUAGCUUCAUGAAAAACUCACUACACAGUUCUUGUUCAAGCAUUAUUGGGAAACCACCAGAGGGCACUCUCACCCAGGGCUUAAUUUGAACAUCUCGCCCAAAAGUGACUUUUAAAAGCACUUAAUUAGCAGAGAAUUUGGAUGUUCAUUAGUUGAGAAUGACUAGUAGAAUAAAUGGUAAUAGUGAAAUUAAGUGCUGGAAUAUUCUGAGUAGACCAAUAGCAAAAACUGAUUUUUUUUUUUUUUUAAAGAAAAGGUCUUGCUGUGUCGCCCAGGAUGGAGUGCAGUGGCACAAUCACAUUGCACUGCAACCUCAAUAUCCUGGGCUCAAGCAAUCCUCCCACCGCAGCCUCCCGAAUUGCUGAGACUACACAUGUGUGCUACCAUGCCUGGCUAAUUGUUUUAAUUUUUUUUAUAGAGACGGGGUUUCGCCAUGUUGCCCAGGCUGGUCUUGAACUCCUGGGCUCAAAGCGAUCCACCCACCUUGGCCUCCAAAAGUAUGGGAUUACAGGUGUGAGCCACUGUGCCCAGCCUUAUUUUUUUUUUUUAAGAUAAUAUUGUUAACAUUUUGUAUUUCUCUGCAUAAAUAUAUUUCAAAAAUAAAAAUAGAGCUCAUAAUAUAUGCUGUUUUGUAAUGCUUUUUUCACUUAAUAGGAAUUUUUUCCGUAUCAUUAAGUACUCUGAUUUAAUGGGUGCAUAUUAUUCUAUAAUCUGGCUUGUCAUAAUUUAAUUAACUCCCUGCUGUUAGACAAAAUCAUUGUUUCUGUUCCAUCUUGUGAAUAAUGCUGUUAUUAACAUCCUGGUGGAUUAUUACCAUUUUCUUUUUUUAUUUUUUUUUUAAAUUUAUUUCUUCUUUUUUUUUUCUUAUAAUCUCAUCAGAAGCUGGCAAGAUCAUUACUGUUUUCUUAGAUUUGUUUCUGUAAGUGCAAUCGUUGAAUCACCAUGUCCGGCAUCCAUGUUUAUGUACAUUUUUAAAGUCAGUGGUUUAAACUGUAUACUUUUUGGGUUUUGGAGAUGGAGGUUUGCUCUGCCCAAGCUGGAAUGCAAUGGCGCGAUCUUGGCUCACUGCAGCCUCCACCUCCCGGGUUCAAGUGAUUCUCCUGCCUCAGCCUCCUUAAGUAGUUGGGAUUACAAGUGUGCACCACCAUACUCAGGUAAUUUUGCAUUUUUAGUAGAGACAGGGUUUCACCAUGUUGGUCAGGCUGGUCUCGAACUCCUGACCUCAAGUGUCCACACACCUUGGCCUCCCAAAGUGCUGGGUGGGAUUAUAGGUGUGAGCCUCCAUGCCUGGCCUAAACUGCAUACUCCUAACAUCAGUAUAUAGAAAUAUUUUCUCUUUAGUUCUAUUAAAAUUUUAAAAAAUCUUUAUCAAUUUAGUAGGCAAAGACUGGAAAAUGUUUUAAUUUGAUCAGCCACUUUAAUGUAUGUCUCAUUUCAAAGCAUAUAAAGUAUACAAGUUUCAGGUCCUAGCUUAAACCUAUAAGAGGCCUUAUUAUGGGCUUAUUUCCUUUGCAGCCCUUUACCAUAAUGUGUUUCUUCUACCUCCCCUGCACAACAUUGUUUAUAUGCCCCCUAAAAUGUAACUUCUUUAGAUUCUGUUGUUACGUGCAACACUGUAUAUCUCUCCAUAGCACUUAAUCAGAGUUUGUAAUUAGGCAUCUUUUUGUGUGAUUAUUUGGUAAAUGUCCAUAUCCCCUACUAGCCUAUAAGCUCCAUGACUUCUAGGUACCCUGUCUGACUACGUGUAUCACUGUUUCUACCGCCUAACAUUGCCUAGCACAUUCAUUGCUUCACAGGCAUCUGAAUAUGGUUUUAUAAAAUACAUUGCUCUAGUGCACAGGAUUUUAAGCUAAGGAUUUCAUGAAUGGGAUUUGGGGUAGGGGCAUCUAUGAAAUUCCUGAAAUUGUGUAGAAUUUUGAGAAUAUGUGUUUUCCUGGGGAUAGAGUAUGUAGUUUCUCAGCAACUCAUUACAGUCUGUCACAUCAUGCCCUAAUUCUACUUGCCUGUAGCUAAACACCUAAUAACAUUAGAACUGAAAUGAUAGUGAUAUGCAAGAUAGCACGUGUGGUUUCCACAUAUUCUAAGAGGCAUCUUCAAUUAGAUUCCAAAAAUUUUUAAGAAAAAAAGAUAUAAUGUGCCAUCAUUUUGGAUGGUUCUGGGCACUUCAGGUAAACCCUUACUCAAAGAAUACUUUUUCAGUUUCAAUGUGUAUUUUUAAAAUUUCCAGAAGAUGAGUUGAAUAUCAGCCCACAAACACUGGUAGUAAGCAAACUAUUUUAUUUGCUAAAGGCAUAAAUAAAUGUCUCCUUUGCUUUUAGGCAAAGGGAAUGCUUCUUCAGAUUUUUUUUUUUCCCCAGAAGUUCAAAAUAACUUGCUCAUAGUCUUCCCAAAAUAAUUUUCAAACAUUCUAACACCAAAGAAAGAUACUCCCAAUUGAGCUCAGCCAUCAGCCUCCUACUAUUUUUUAAUGUGCUGUUUAACCUUGUGAAUGUGAGAAUAUUUUGAAUGCACUGGGAAGGAAUACUCAGGAACAAUAUGUAAUGUGCUUUCUAGUUUUGCACAAAGGCAUUCAUUUUGAUUUAGUAACAACCUCAUACUUACAUAGCAUAUCCUUCUGCAGAAAUGCUUCACAGCCAUGACUGCUUGAAUUCUUGUCAUGUUGCUUGUAAAUGAGCUCCUGUUUUUAGAUGGAGAAAUGGAGGCAGAGUCUCACAAUUACAUGUGAGAAUAGCAAGUAGAACCUUAUGAUUACUUCUGAGUCUUUUUUUUUUUUUUUUUUUUGAGAUGGAGUUUCACUUUUGUCACCCAGGCUGGAGUGCAGUACAGUGGCCAGUGGCAUGAUCUCAGCCCACUGCAACCUCCGCCUCAUAGGCUCAAGCAAUUCUCCUGCCUCAGCCUCCCGAGUAGCUGGGAUUAUGAGCGUGCACCAGCAUGCCUGGCUGAUUUUUUGUAUUUUCAGUAGAGAUGGGGUUUCACCACGUUGGCCAGGCUGGUCUUGAACUCCUGACCUCAGGUGAUCUGCCCACCUUGGCCCCCCAAAAUACUGGGAUUACAAGGGUGAGCCACUGUGCCCAGCCUCUUCUGAGUCUUCAAUUCAGCAAGAAUGUCUCUUUUUUUUUUUUUUUUUUUUUUGGGACAGAGUCUUGCUCUUGUUGCCUUGGCUGGAGUGUAGUGGCACAUUCUCAGCUCACUGCAACCUCCACCUCCCGGGUUCAAGCGAUUCUCCUGCCUCAGCUUCCCAAGUAGCUGGGACUAUAGGCAUGCAACACCAUGUCCGGCUAAUUUUUUGUAUUUAGUAGAGAUGGGGUUUCUCCAUGUUGGUCAGGCUGGUCUCAAACUCCUGACCUCAGGUGAUCCACCUGCUUUCGCCUCCUGAAGUGCUGGGAUUACAGGCAUGAGCCACCACGCCCGGCCAAGAAUGUCUUUUCUUUAUAAUGUUGUCUCUAAGCAUGUAAUCUUUUCGGCAAAUUUUAUUAAGCACCUAUAGAGUUCAAGCCACUGUGGGUUCAAAGAUAGCCCUCAUUCCUGAUUGACAAAGUAUCUUGCUAUGACCAUCCCUUCUUUCCCCUCUAGUCAAAAUUAGUCUCUUCUUCACUCAUAAUGCAAAGUACAUUGGAUUACUAUUAUGCCACUUACUUGAAUAAUUGUCUUGAUGAGUAAUAUAUGUAGUCAGUAACAUGGUUAAGUGUGGCAAUUUGGAUUGAUCCCAUUGGACUUUUCAAUUGCUGCAUCCAGGUGUAAUUACCAUAAGAGCAUAGAAGAUAGAAUCGUAAAGCUGAAAGACAUCUUAAAGAUGAUUUUUGGGGACUGAUUUGGAAACAGAUCCAAAGACACUAAUUGACUUGCCCAAGAUCACAGAUUGUGGCAGAACCAACCAAUGUCUUUUUUAAACAUUAAGGACAUCUUAUAUGUAUAUUUAUGCAUAUACAUACUGAUGAAAUGUGCCUUUAGCAAUAGAUGUGUCCAGUGAUGUACUAAUGAAGAUUUAACAACUGGUUCUAACUUGUAAUGUUUGCCAGUUUCCAUGACUGGGUCUUACAAGUUGUUGUGCACUGACUCCAUCAUUCCACUGGAUGUGCCCCUGAAAUCAUAUAUUUACUACUAAAACCAUUAGAUUGUUUCCUUGUUCCAGUUAUGCAUUCAGAGACACUCCACCUUAUUUUCUGAUUACAUUUGCAGGGAGAAAUAACUCCUUACUUGUCAGUUUCAGCCUUCACUUUUAGUUUCUUUUUCUUUUCCUUUUUCCAACCCAGUAUACCUUAGAAACUUUCAGUUUCUUUUAAGGAUUUAAUAACUUGCUUAUAAGUGUUUAAAAUGACUUAAUGGGUUCUAUCUUUUAAGGGAACUUUGGAUGAAUCCUUGAAUAUCAGUUAUCUAUUGCCAAUUAACAAAUCACCCCAAAGCUCAUUGGCUUAAAACAACAAUCUUUCAUUAGUUUGCGUUCUUCCAGGUAAUUCUUAUAGUCUGGAUCCAGCUCAGCUUAUCUUGGCUGGACUUGCCCAUGCAGCUGAGGUCACUAGUUGGGUUGUUGAGGCUGGCUAGUCCUAGAUGGUGUCACUCAUAUGUCUGGUAUUGAGUGACUGUCACCUGGGGCAUUAGGGGGACUGUGUCUCUCAUCAUCCAGCAAGCUAGGCCUGGAUUCUUCACAUGGCUUUAGGAUUUCAAGAGUAUGAGAUUGGGGCUGGGCAUGAUGACUCACACCUGUAAUCCCAGCACUUUGGGAGGCCAAGGUUGGGGGAUUUCUUGAGCCCAGGAGUUCAAGACCAGCCUGGGCAACAUAGUGAGAGCCCAUCUGUAAAAAAAAAAAUUUUUUGAGAUGGAGUUUCGCCCUUGUUGCCCAGGCUGGAGUGCAAUGGCGCAAUCUCAGCCCACCAGAACCUUUGCCUCUUGGGUUCAAGCGAUUCUCCUGCCUCAGUCUCCUGAGUAGCUGAGAUUACAGGCAUGAGCCACCACGCCCAGCUAAUUUUGUAUUUUUAGUAGAGAUGGGUUUCUCCGUGUUGGUCAGGCUGGUCUUGAAUUCCCCACCUCAGGUGAUCUGCCUGCCUCAGCCUCCCAAAGUGCUGGGAUUACAGGUGUGAGCCACCACGCCUGGUCUUCUACAAAAAAAUUUUAAAAAAUUAGCUGGGGGUGGGGAGGGUGGGGUGGUGCUGCAUGCCUGUAGUCCCAGCUAUUUGGGAGGCUGAGAUGGGAGGAUUGCUUGAGCCCAUGAGAUUGAGGCUGUAGUGAGCCAUGAUUGUGCCACUGCACUCUAGGCUGGGCAACAGAACAAGCACCUGUAUCAAAACAAACAAAAAAGUGCAAGAUUGGAAGCUUCGAGGCUUCUUGAGGCCUAGUCUCAGAACUGGCACAAUAUCACUUCAUAAGGCUAUCUCAGAUUCAAGGGAGUAAGAGGAGAGAUGCUACCUAUUAAAAGGAGAAGCAGCAAAUACUAUGGCCAUUCUCUUCACAAUAGUUGUCACCAAAACGUAAUCGAUUUGUUUAUGGGUUUACAUUGUCAUGUCUCCACAGGACAAUGCACAUGGUAUGUUUGUCAGAACCCAGUUGGAGUUUUGUUUCCCAGCAUCCAAAGGAAAUCCCUAACUUUCAUUUUUUCUUCCCGUAAGCAGCCCCGAACACUUACUUAUAAGCCAUCUCUACCUGAAUUAGCAAUCAUGGAUAAGCUCAAUAACUGAUCAUUUCCUUAUCAGUUUAAACCAUAUAUAUUUUAACACUGUCUCUUUUUCACACACACUAGUUAGCUAAGAAUGAGCUGGGGGGCUGGGCGUGGUAGUUCACACCUGUAAUCCCAGCACUUUAGGAGGCGGAGGUGGGCGGAUCACUUGAGGUCAGGAGUUUGAGACCAGCCUAGCUAACAUGGUGAAACCCCGUCUCUACUAAAAAUGCAAAAAUUAGCUGGGUGUGGUGGCAGGCAUCUGUAAUCCUAGCUACUCAGGAGGCUGAGGCAGGAGAAUCCCUUGAACCCAGGAGGCAGAGGUUGCAGUGGGCCAAGAUCACACCACUGCACUCCAGUCUGGGUGAUAAAACGAGAUUCCGUCUCAAAAAAAAAAAAAAAACUGCCAAAACGCUUUUUGCAAAGUGGUUGUACCAUUUUAUAUUCUCACCACCAUGAAUGAAAGUUCCAAUUGCUAUAUUCUUGCCCUCAUUUGAUAAUAUUUUUAGUUUUAGCCAUUCUAAUGGAUAUAUAGUAAUAAUUUGAUGGUUUUAAUUUGCAUUUCUCUGAUGAUCAAUAACAUUAAGUUUUGAUUCAGGUACUUGUUGGGCACUCAUAUCUUUGGUGAAAUAUCUGUUCAAAUCAUUUGCUCUUUUUUUUUUCUUAGCACUUAAAAAAGACUUUUUGCCAGGCACAGUGGCACAUGCCUGUAGACCUAGCUACUCAGGAGGCUAAGACAGGAGGAUCACUUGAGUCCAGAAGUUCUGGGUUGUAGUGAGCUAUGUCAAUCAGGUGUUUGCACUAAGUUCAGCAUAAAUGUAGUGACCUCCUGGGUCACUGGGACCCAGAGUUGCCUAAGGAGCGUCAGAAGUGGAGCAGGUCAAAACUCCUGUGCUGAUCAGUAGUGGGAUCACACCUGUGAAUAGCCACUGCACUGCAGCCUGGGCAACAUAGUGAGAUCCUCAUCUCCUGAAAAAAAAAAAAAACUUUAGUUUUUAAAAGUAGUUUUAGGUUCUGAGCAAAAUUGAGAGGAGGGUACAGAAAUAACUUAUAUAUCCUCAGUGCUCCCCUCCCCCAUGCCUCCCUCAUCACCAUCCCCCAGCAGAGUGGCACAUUGGUUACAAUUGAUAAACCUACACUGACACAUCAUUAUCACCCAAAGCCUAUUGUUUCCAUUAGGGUUCACUCUUGGUGCUGUACAAUCUAUGGGUUUGAACAAAGGUACAAUGACAUGUAUCCAUCUUUAUAGUCAUGCAGAGUCUACACUGUCCUAAAAACCCUUGGCUCUGCCUCUUCGUCGUGUCCUCCCCACUGACCCCCGGCUACCACUGGUCUUUUCACUGUCUCCGUAAGUUUUUCCUUUUUCAGAACGCCAUAUAGUUGGAAUCAUAAAGUAUAUAUAGCCUUUUCACAUUGGUUUCUUUCACUGGAUAAUAUGCAUUUGUUUCCUCUAUGUCUUUUCACAGUUUGAUAGCUCAUUUCUUUUUAGCAUCGAGUAAUACUCCAUUGUCUGGGUGUACAACAGUUUAUCCAUUCACCUGCUGAAGGACAUCUUGGUUGAUUGCUUCCAAGUUUUGGCAAUUAUGAAUAAAAUUGCUAUAGAUAUCCAUGUGUAGGUUUUUGUGUCCAUUUAAGCUUUCAACUCCUUUGGGUAAAUACCAAAGAGCACAAUUGUUGGAUUGAAUGCUAAGAGAAUGUUUCGUUUUGUAAAAAACCACCAAACUGUCCUACAGAGAGGCUGUACCAUUUUGCAUUCCCACCAGCAGUGAAUAAGGGUUCCUAUUGCUCAACAUCCCUGUCAGCACUUGGUGUUAGUGUUCUGAAUUUUGGCCAUUCUAAAAGGUGUGUAGUGGUGUCUCACUUGUUUUGUGUUUUUCUCUGCUCAGACAGCUCAUCCACAUCACAUUUAUUUUAAUUUGCAUUUCCCUGAUAAUAUGUGAUAUGGAACAUCUAUUUACUCAUUAUUUUUUCUUCUUAUGAUUGAAGUUAUAAUAUUUCUUUAAAUAUUUUGGAUAAAUCUUUUGUCAGAUAUAUGCACUGGAAAUAUUUUUAUGGGGGACCAGUGUUAAGAUUAGAUCUGUUUAAAGAGAAAGGAGAGAAAGUUUCAGGCAGGGAAUGCAAUCGAUGUGAAGGUUUGGGGUAAUUUGUUUCAUUUAUCUUUAACACCAUGUUAUGGAUGGCAAAAUAACUUCACUGGCUUUUUUUAUCAAGAAAAGACUUACCUUUUCUGAAUGCAACAGUAUUAGUAAACCUAAUGGUGACAAUAAAAGCGAUUCUGAAUAAAUGAAAACCAAUAGAUUGUUCUAGUUUUACUCAUAAAUAUAAUUCUUCAUAUACUGAGUUCAGUUUUUUAGCCAUAAAUGAAGACAUGGGAAAACCAUAACAUGUUAUUUGCUGAGAAGUUCUGGCAAAUGAAGCAAUAAAAUAAUCAAAACUAAAUCAACAUUUAAAUACAGAACAUAAAGAGAUAAAUCCAAAACCAGAAGAUCUCUUUGAAAGAAAAACCUAAGUAAUUAAAAAACUGAAAGCACAGAUAUUCAUUAUUUCACAAAUAAACGUUAAUGCUUUUUAGACAUCUUUAAGCAACUUUAGAUUGCUAAAACUAAAAAAUGCAAUUAAGACAAUAAUCUUAUAUAUAGACAAUAAUUGUCUUAAUAAUAAUCAGCAUCAAAGAUUCUUAGAAAUGUUGGGAGACUGUGUGGCAAAGAAAGUACUUCAAUUACCAGUUACCAACACACAACAAUUUGAAAUAUCCAGGAAGAUCAACCCAUAGAACAAAGAAAGCUAAUAAAUUACCUUUUCUUGCAAUUGGUUUGAUGUACCAUUAAUAUAUAGAUAUUACUAAUAUGGCAAUUAGUUUAUAUGCUAUUUGAAUAUGAUAGUAAUAUGAAGGAAGAUUCUCUUUUUUCCACUUCAUUGCCAACAAACAGCUAACUCUAAACAACAGUAAAGUGUGGAAUAAAUUACUUUGUUAAUUAAUGUGGUUUGAAGCUUUGUAGGAAUCCAAUUGGAUGGAUAGCAGCAGUGGUAAGAGAACAUUCCGGAAUAAUUACCUAAAUUAAGGAGCUUGCCCUAGAAUGUAAAUCAACCUACUAUAUCUUUUUAUUUGAAAAAGUCUUGGUAGAAAAAGCAUAUCAACUGAACUGUACAGUGUGUUCAGUGACUUAGUAAAGAACAUAACUUGUGUAAAGGCUAAUGCAAUAAGUUUGAGAUUGUUCUCUUUAUGUAAUAGUUUGGAAAACAAACAACUGUGAUUACAUUUAGAGAUAUGAUGAUUAUCUAGAGGGAAAGUUCUGUUGAGCAUAUUUGAACAUUUAAUUAUUGCUGCAAGAAGCCAGUUUGGUCCCAGCUUUAUAAAGAUAUACAUUGGGCUGGGUGCGGUGGCUCAUGCCUGUAAUCCCAGCACUUUGGGAGGCCGAGGCAGGCGGAUCACCUGAGGUCAGAGGUUCGAGACCAGCCUGGCCAACAUGGUGAAACCCCAUCUCUACUAAAAAUACAAAAAUUAGCUGGGCGUGGUGGCACACACCUGUAUUCCUUGCUACUCGGGAGGCUAAGGCAGGAGAAUCGCUUGAACCCAGGAAGCAGAGGUUGCAGUGAGCCAAGAUUGUGCCACUGCACACCAGCCUGGAUAAAAAGAGUGAAACUCUGCCUCAAAAUAAAAUAAUAAAAUGAAAUAAAGAUAUAAAUUGGCCAGCUAGAGUUACCUGAAGUUACUAUCUUCAAUUAUCUGAAGACAGUUCUGAUAGCUUCAGAAUUCUUUCAUACAAGGCAGGAAUGCAACUUGUUUUUUAAUGGCAGAUAAAAUCAAAGAGCAAAAGCAAAAGGUAGAAGCUUGAAAGACCAGAGUUGCUACAGAUUGUUAUUACAUGUUCCAUAAUUUAACAAUUGUCAUUGAAGUUGGUGAUUGUCUUGAUAUUGCACAUCUGUAAGAAGUAAUCAAACUAUUGUGAAUUUGAUAGAAUGCUUUAAGUUUUAUUUUCCAACAAAAGAAUGUCUACAUACGGCAAAUUCAUAGAUCUGGAAUCCAUUUAUGUCAUCAAAAGAGGAUUUAAAUUUAAUUGUAAGCUUAUAUGAUACAUUGUUCUAACUGGCAACUAAUGAAGGAUUAAAAAUGAAUUUUGAAAAUACCACACCACUUGCUUCAUUUUGGAUAAAAGUUAAAAGUGAAUAUUCUGAGUAUGCUGAAAUUAGUUUAAAAACUUUUUUUUCCCAUUCCGACCAUUAUCCCUUUGUAAAUCUGGUUUCAUCUUAUGAAUAAUAUUUUUUAAAAACCAUGGAAACAGUUUAGAUAUACAUCAAUCCAUGAAAGUAGUAGUAUUGUCAAUCUACCCUGGAUUACAUAUUUUAACGAGAAAGAAACCAGCUCAUUUGUGACAUUUAGAAUUUUUUUUUUUUUUUUUUUUUUUUGAGAGAGAGGGUCUCAUUCAUUUUAUUGCCCAGGCUGGAGUGCAGUGGUGCAAUCGUAGCUCACUGUAACCUUGAACUUCUGGGCUCAAGCAAUCCUCUCACCUCAGCCUGCAGCUGGAGCUUCAGGUGUCUGCCAUCACGCCUGGCAAAUUUAUUUUUUGUAGAGACCAAGUCUCCUUGUGUUACCCAGGUUGGUAUCAAACUCCUGGUCUCAAGUGAUCCUCCCAUCUCGGCCCCCACAAGUGUUGAGAUGACAGGUGUGAGCCACCUUGCUUGACCUAAAAACUUUUGAAUAUUAAUAUGCAUUGUGUUUAUUCAAAGUAUAUCUAAUGGUCUAAUAAACAGAAUCACUACUUCAAUUAUAAUCUUCAGUUAUAAUUGAAGAAUGACAAAAAGUUGAGUUAUAGAAAUUAUAUUAAUCUUAAAUUCACAUUUUCAGUGAAAGUUUUUAAAUAAUUUUUUCUCUUUCCGUUUUAUGUGUGUUCCAAUUCUAUUUAUUGAAAUUUAAUUUUAUAUCCAUUAACAUAAUUAAAAAUUGGGGCUUUUAAAAAAUGUUUUUCAUUCUACUAAUUUCAUUUUAUAAUUUAUAAAAGUACUAGACCACAAUGGAUUAAAGAACUAUCCUUUCAUCACAGAUAGUUCAAUGACUCCUGUUUUUUUUUAGACCGAGUCUUGCUCUGUCACCCCAGCUGGAGUGCAGUGGUGUGAUCUUGGCUCACUGCAACCUCCGUCUCCCAGGUUCAAGCAAGUCUCCUGCCUCAGCCUUCCGAGUAGCUGGGACUACAGGUGCCCACCACCACACCCGGCUAAUUUUUGUAUUUUUAGUAGAGACGGGGUUUCACCAUGUUGGUCAGGCUGGUCUUGAACUCCUGACCUCAUGAUCUGCCUGCCUCGGCCUCCCAAAGUGCUAGGAUUACAGGCGUGAGCCACCAUGCCCAGCCAACUCCUGUUUUAUAGUGUACUUUCUGGAAUAUUAUUCAGCUUUCUCUUGAAUUCUUUUAGUAACUAGGAGUUCACUACGUUUCCAUGGACCUAACUCCAAUAAUGAUUGGACAGUUUUCUCCCUCUGCUUUUUCUUUCUUUCUUUCUUUUUUUUUUUUUUUUUUUUGAGAUGGCGUCUCCUCUGUCAAUCUCGGUUCAUUGCAACCUCCACCUCCCAAGCUCAAGCGAUUCUUGUGCCUCAGCCUCCUGAGUAGCUGGGAUUACAGGCACCCACCACCACACCUGGCUAAUUUUUUUUUUUGGUAGAGACAGGGUUUCACCAUGUUGACCAGGCUGGUCUUGAACUCCCGACCUCAGGUGAUCUGGCUGCCUUGGCCUCCCAAAGUGCUGACAUUACAGGCAUGAGCCACUGCACCUGGCCAUUAUUGGACAGUUUUAAUGGAAAGUGUUUCCUUAUAUUGAGUGGAAAUCAGUCUGCUUAUGGUUUAUAAUCCUCAGACUUGAUUCUCCCCCUGAAUCUAUAUGAAAUAAAUUUACUCCUAUUUGAAAAUAUUUGUCAUAUUCCUUCUUAUUUUUCUUUAAGCUUUAUUUUUUCUUAUUAUCCAUAUGACAUGUUUCCAGAACUCUCCCUUAUCCUGAUUGUCCUCCUUUAGACACAUGCUUUUAAUGAUAUAUUUCUUAAAAUGUAUUACCCAGGACAACAUAUUUUUUUUUACUGUGGACAGUAUACUUUUACGAAUGGUGCCAAUAAUGCAUUACAUUUUUUAGCAGUCAUGUCAUCCUCUUGAUUUGCAUUGAGUCAUCAUUUCUUAAGAGGGAAUCAGGAUAUCAAAAUAGUCUCCAAACUCAGCUGAUUCCUUCUGCAGAUACACUCUCCACCCUUCUUGAUUCCUUUUCGGGAGAAAAGAAAAAAGUUUAUUUUCAUUGCUAACCUCACUGAUUUUUAAUUUUACCAUUUAAAUGUUAGUAACAGCUGGUAAUGUAACCAAAGAAGAUUUUUGGCAGGGGAUGAUGCAUUCAGAGCCUUCACUCUGGCUACAGGGAGACCAUGGAGGAUGGGCUGGAACGGAAGCACGAUGGACUCCUGGGCACACCGUUAAGUGACUGAUGGAGUCAUUCAGCUGACAAAUGAUAAUGGCCUGGAUUAAGGAAGGAGAAGAGGGGACCAAGAAAUGCCAGAGAUACAUAGGAAGUAAAAAUUAAUAGGCCUUGGCAACUAUUUUUUUUUUUUUUUUUUGAGACAGAGACUUGCUGUGUUGCCCAGGCUGGAGUGCAGUGGGGUGAUCUCGGCUCACUGCAACCUCUGCCUCCUGGAUUCAAGCAAUUUUCGUGCCUCAACCUCCUGAGUAGCUGGGACUACAGGUGUGCAUCACCAUUCCCAGGUAAUUUUUGUAUUUUUAGUAUAGAUGGAGUUUCGCCAUUCUGGCCAGGCUGGUCUCGAGCUCCUGACCUCAAGUGAUUCGCCCGCGUCGGCCUCCCAAAGGGCUGGGAUUACAGACAUCAGCCACUGCACCUGGGUUGGCAACUAAUUUACACGGAAUGGCAGAGAGUGAUUAAUGAAAAAGCGGGGAGAAAAGCUGCUCUUGACAUCUGAAAGCUGACUUGGCAUUCACAGCUAGGCUAUGUUAUUUUCCUAUUGGGCAUAAGUCUCACAGAAUACCAACAUUAAACAAGAUGACUCUGAAACCUUAAUAAAGUGAGAAAAAACAAGUCCACUUUGUAAUUUUGUCUAAGCACAGGCAAAAAGAGGGUCAUGGUGCCAUCCAGAAAAUACCAAAAAUCACCCUCUCUCAGCUAAAAUGAGCAACUGCUACUUUACCAGUGACAGCUUUGUCCCAGCUCUAGUCUGCCUUCCCUAUAGAGAAGAUGUAUUGAGAUAAUCAUGAAAUUCUCCUUCUUUCUGAUAGUAUCCAAUCUGGAGCAAACCCGUUUCCUUAGACCCUCUCCCAAUCCCAAAUUCUAUACUAGGUUCUUCUAAACACUCUCAUACUGAGACACCCCAUGGUUCCCUAUGUUGUGUGUUCUUCUUUGCUGCAAUGAGUAAUAAACUCAACUUGUUUAACUA